UUCUUGUUAAUAUAGUGGUGAGUAUUCCCACCUGUCAUGCGGGAGACGGGGUUCAAUUCCCUGAUGGGGAG
rfam:Gorilla gorilla gorilla genomic chromosome, chr3, whole genome shotgun sequence